UUAGAGUUUGAUCCUGGCUCAGGACGACCCCUGGCGGCGUGCCUAACACAUGCAAGUCGAACGGAGUUUACCGGAUUGAAGUUUUCGGAUGGAAAGAAAGUAAACUUAGUGGCGGACGGGUGAGUAACGCGUGAGCAACCUGUCCCAAGGAGGGGAAUAACAUUGUGAAAGCAAUGCUAAUACCGCAUAAGACCACGCCCUCGAGUGAGGGAGGGGUCAAAGCCUUAGGGUGCCUUGGGAGGGGCUCGCGUCCCAUUAGAUAGUUGGUGAGGUAAAGGCUCACCAAGUCGACGAUGGGUAGCCGGACUGAGAGGUUGAACGGCCACACUGGGACUGAGACACGGCCCAGACUCCUACGGGAGGCAGCAGUGGGGAAUAUUGGGCAAUGGGGGAAACCCUGACCCAGCAACGCCGCGUGAGAGAAGAAGGUAUUCGUAUUGUAAAUCUCUGUCCUUGGGGACGAAAAAAAUGACGGUACCCAAGGAGGAAGCCCCGGCUAACUACGUGCCAGCAGCCGCGGUAAUACGUAGGGGGCGAGCGUUGUCCGGAAUUACUGGGCGUAAAGGGUGCGCAGGCGGUUAAUUAAGUCUUAUGUGAAAUACCCGGGCUUAACUUGGGGGUUGCAUGGGAAACUGGUUAACUUGAGUGCAGGAGAGGCAAGUGGAAUUCCUAGUGUAGCGGUGAAAUGCGUAGAUAUUAGGAGGAACACCAGUGGCGAAGGCGACUUGCUGGACUGCAACUGACGCUGAGGCACGAAAGCGUGGGUAGCAAACAGGAGUAGAUACCCUGGUAGUCCACUCCGUAAACGAUGGGAUACUAGGUGUAGGGGAGUCAAAUCCUCUGUGCCGCAGUAAACGCAAUAAGUAUCCCGCCUGGGGAGUACGGCCGCAAGGCUGAAACUCAAAGGAAUUGACGGGGGCCCGCACAAGCAGCGGAGCAUGUGGUUUAAUUCGAAGCAACGCGAAGAACCUUACCAAGGCUUGACAUCCCUCGGAUUGCAUGGAAACAUGCAAGCCCUUCGGGGCGAGGAGACAGGUGGUGCAUGGUUGUCGUCAGCUCGUGUCGUGAGAUGUUGGGUUAAGUCCCGCAACGAGCGCAACCCUUGUCAUCAGUUACCAGCACGUAAAGGUGGGGACUCUGGUGAGACUGCCGGGGACAACUCGGAGGAAGGUGGGGACGACGUCAAAUCAUCAUGCCCCUUAUGUCUUGGGCUACACACGUGCUACAAUGGCCGUAACAAAGAGAAGCGACCUCGCAAGGGUGAGCGGAACUCAAAAAAACGGUCUCAGUUCGGAUUGUGGGCUGCAACCCGCCCACAUGAAGUCGGAGUUGCUAGUAAUCGCCAAUCAGCAUGUCGCGGUGAAUGCGUUCCCGGGCCUUGUACACAGCGCCCGUCA
rnacentral:rRNA from 1 species